rnacentral:tRNA from 4 species
UGGUGUGGCUCAGUUGGUAGAGCAGCUGAUUCGUAAUCAGCAGGUCGCCGGUUCAAGUCCGGCCACC